GCCCGGGUGGUGAAAUUGGUAGACACGCCAUCUUGAGGGGGUGGUGGCCACAAGCCGUGCGGGUUCGAGUCCCGCCCCGGGCACCA
rnacentral:tRNA from 1 species